rnacentral:rRNA from 1 species
GAUGAACGCUGGCGGCGUGCCUAAUACAUGCAAGUCGAGCGAACGGACGAGAAGCUUGCUUCUCUGAUGUUAGCGGCGGACGGGUGAGUAACACGUGGAUAACCUACCUAUAAGACUGGGAUAACUUCGGGAAACCGGAGCUAAUACCGGAUGAUAUUUUGAACCGAAUGGUUCAAAAGUGAAAGACGGUCUUGCUGUCACUAAUAGAUGGAUCCGCGCUGCAUUAGCUAGUUGGUAAGGUAACGGCUUACCAAGGCAACGAUGCAUAGCCGACCUGAGAGGGUGAUCGGCCACACUGGAACUGAGACACGGUCCAGACUCCUACGGGAGGCAGCAGUAGGGAAUCUUCCGCGAUGGGCGAAAGCCUGACGGAGCAACGCCGCGUGAGUGAUGAAGGUCUUCGGAUCGUAAAACUCUGUUAUUAGGGAAGAACAUAUGUGUAAGUAACUGUGCACAUCUUGACGGUACCUAAUCAGAAAGCCACGGCUAACUACGUG